CGUAGCUUCCUUGUCGUGUGGCCUCAGUCCUUCGCCGUCCCUCGCCGUCCUUCGCCAUCGCACGCCACCGCACCCCAUCUCUCGAAAUCUGCAGACAUCUUGAUUUUUCCCACGCUGUCUGUCAGGUCUCCGCCGCCACUCGACGCCAGGGCGCCGGGUGAGUCCACAGCAGGGCGCAUGGUCGGCUCCACUCUCACCAUCGGGGGAAACUGAGGCCCCGGGGAAGGCGGCCAGAGAGGUCAGGCCCUGUCCUUGGUGCAGUGUCUCGUCCUCUUUGCCGGAGUGAGCCCCCCAGGAUUCGCGUGUCCUCGGGAAAGACACUGGCAGGCCUUGUGGGCUGUGCUGCACCUCGGACGGCUUCGCACCAGCCAGCGCCCUCUCUCUCCUGCAGCACUCUGAUCUGCACCCCCUGAGGGGCUUCCACUGUCCGCGGGGUGAGAAUGCCCCUGGGAGUGUCACAUGACUGCCGCCCCAUGUGUGUGAGAGGCGUCCUCUGGGAGAGCAUGGAUCCUGAGGUCCCAGGAUUGUCAGCUGACCUCUGUCCUGUGUGCCCAGUGGCCCCAGGUGACGUGUCUUCAAGAAGAGGCUGAGCUGCGGUGCUUGUAAGAGUCAUGUGCUGUUCCUGGGGCUUGGAUGAUGUAGGGGAAGCAAGGUGAAAGUGGUAUCCCGUGGUUCCACGUUCUGUCCUGCUGUGGGGCUGUCCCUCACAUGCUUUCAGUGGCUGUUGCAGAGGAAGAGCCUCCGGAAAUCUGCGUCUCAGCCUUAGAUCCAAGGACAGUCCAAGGAAGUCCUAAGACCAUGGAGUUGGUGAUCUGGGAUCUGGGUUUGCUGAUAUUUCUCACCGUGAAUCUCUUGGUGGUGUUUGUGGGCACGAGAGGGGCAGAGAAUGGAGAGUGAGGCUACCACAUGAAGCGUCACCAGAGCUGCUCCCUGCUGCCUGCUCAGAGCACCCCGGAUCCACUGUUCAAUCUGCACAAGAUUCGGGGUCCAGACAUGGGAGACUUCAGCUGCCUCAGAGGACCGUGGACAGGGAAGGCCAGCCUCGCAUCCCUCUGUCCAUGCCUGGAAUGACUUUAAUAACCAAGAGUUUUAUUUUUGAAUUUGUAGCUGUCGUUCACUUUUUACCCACCCAUUCAAUAAACCUUACAGAAUUGCUCCAUGUGCUUCUUAAAUCAGUGACAACCUGUGAGCCUGCCAGGCUGGCUUUGGAGAAGAGGGAGGAAUCUACACAUGUCCC
rnacentral:lncRNA from 1 species